GGGGAGGUGGGGGGGUCCCUCAGCCUGGAUUGCAAGAGGGCGCAGGCCAGGCCAAGGGACCCCACCAGUGCAUG
rnacentral:pre_miRNA from 1 species